rnacentral:rRNA from 1 species
GACGAACGCUGGCGGCGUGCUUAACACAUGCAAGUCGAACGAAGUGGCGCACGGGUGAGUAAUACGUGAGUAACCUGCCCUCCUUUUUGGGAUAAGCCUUGGAAACGGGGUCUAAUACCGGCUAAACGGGGAUGGGCUCGCGGCCUGUCCGUUGGUUGGUGGGGUGAUGGCCUCCCCAGGCGGGGACGGGUAGCCGGCCUGAGAGGGGGACCGGCAACAUGGGGACUGGGAUAAGGCCCAGACGACGACGGGAGGCAGCAGUGGGGGAUAUGGGACAAUGGGCGAAAGACUGAUGCAGCGACUCCGCGGGGGGGAUGAAGGCUGUCGGGUUGUAAACCUGUUUCGCUAGCGAACGGGUAGGUGGAGAAGAAGCGCCGGCUAACUACGUGCCAGCCGCCGCGGUAAUAC